UACGAAGGGGGCUAGCGUUGCUCGGAAUCACUGGGCGUAAAGGGUGCGUAGGCGGGUCUUUAAGUCAGGGGUGAAAUCCUGGAGCUCAACUCCAGAACUGCCUUUGAUACUGAAGAUCUUGAGUUCGGGAGAGGUGAGUGGAACUGCGAGUGUAGAGGUGAAAUUCGUAGAUAUUCGCAAGAACACCAGUGGCGAAGGCGACACGCUGGGCCGUACCUGACACUGAUGCGCGACAGCAUGGGGAGCAAACAGG
rnacentral:rRNA from 1 species